rnacentral:rRNA from 1 species
GACGAGGGAUCCUAGCGUUGUUCGGAAUCAUUGGGCGUAAAGCGGGUGUAGGCGGACUUAUAAGUCAGGUGUGAAAUCCCCGGGCUUAACCUGGGAAUGGCAUUUGUGACUGCACGGCUAGAGUGUGUCAGAGGGGGGUAGAAUUCCACGUGUAGCAGUGAAAUGCGUAGAUAUGUGGAGGAAUACCGAUGGCGAAGGCAGCCCCCUGGGAUAACACUGACGCUCAUGCACGAAAGCGUGGGGAGCAAACAGG